UACAGAGGUCCCAAGCGUUGUUCGGAUUCACUGGGCGUAAAGGGUGCGUAGGUGGCCGGGUAAGUCUGACGUGAAAUCUCCGAGCCUAACUCGGAAACUGCAUCGGAUACUAUCCGGCUUGAGGGUUGGAGGGGGGACUGGAAUACUUGGUGUAGCAGUGAAAUGCGUAGAUAUCAGGAGGAAUACCGGUGGCGAAAGCGACUCUCUGGACGGCAACUGACGCUGAGGCACGAAAGCGUGGGGAGCAAACAGG
rnacentral:rRNA from 1 species